rnacentral:rRNA from 1 species
AGAGUUUGAUCCUAGCUCAGGAUGAACGCUGGCGGCGUGGAUAAGGCAUGCAAGUCGAACGAUCCGCAAGGAUAGUGGCAGACGAGGUAGUAAUACGCAGGUACGCACCGAAGAGUCGGGCAUAGCUAGCCGAAAGGUUAGGUAAUUCCCGAUGGUCCCUCCGGGGUAAAGGUUUUUCGCUCUUUGAGCGGCCUGCGCAGCAUCAGCUAGUUGGUAAGGUAAAGGCUUACCAAGGCUAUGACGCUUAGGGGAGCUGAGAGGCUGACCCCCACCGAUAGCACUGAGACACGGGCUAUACAUCUACGGAUGGCUGCAGUCGAGAAUCUUCCGCAAUGGACGAAAGUCUGACGGAGCGACGCCGCGUGAUUGAUGAAGUCCUUCGGGACGUAAAGAUCUUUUAUGGAGGAGGAAGUUUUGACGUUACUCCAUGAAUAAGGGGCUCCUAACUCUGUGCCAGCAGGAGCGGUAAUACAGAGGCCCCAAGCGUUAUCCGGAAUCACUGGGCGUAAAGGGUGUGUAGGCGGUUGUAUUAGUCUUUCGUAAAAGCACUCGGGCUUAACCCGGGUAAUGCGGAAGAAACGGUACGACUUAGAGGAUGUGAGAGGUACAGGGAACUCAUAGUGUAGGGGUGAAAUCCGUUGAUAUUAUGGGGAACACCAAAUGCGAAGGCACUGUACUGGCACAUUCCUGACGCUGAGACACGAAAGCGUGGGAAUCGAACGGGAUUAGAUACCCCGGUAGUCCACGCCCUAAACGAUCACAACUGGCUUUACGGAGUAUCGACCCUCUGUGAGGCGAAGCUAACGCGUUAAGUUGUGCGCCUGGGUAGUACGAUCGCAAGAUUAAAACUCAAAGGAAUAGACGGGGACUUGCACAAGCGGUGGAUCAUGCGGCUCAAUUCGAUGGUAAACGAAGAACCUCACCAAGGUUAGACAUCCAGACGACAAUCCUAGGAAACUAGGACUUUCGCAAGACGGCUGGACAGGUGAUGCAUGGUCGUCGUCAGUUCGUGGCUUGAGUUGUUCCCUUCAGUGGGGUAACGAACGCAACCCUCGUUGUCUGUUUUAUAUGUCAGGCGAGACUGCCCCCUCACGGGGGAGGAAGGUGAGGAUGACGCCAGA